GGCCGGGAGCGCGCAGGUGGCGGGCGGGCCGGCUGUGCGCGCCGCCGCGCGCCGGGUUCCGCCGGGGGCAGCGCGUCGCCGGCGGGCGGGGAGCGAGCGGCCGCCGGGUCCGGGCUGCCGCCACCGCCGCCUUCUCACACGUGAAGGGCCGCAGCCGUCCCGCCGAGAAGCCCCGCUGUCCCGCGGUGCGGGGGCUUCCCCUCCGCCUGCCCUCCGGGCGCCGAGCCGCACCGCUCGCCCUCCCCCGCCGCUCUUGGGAGGCGCCGCGGCGCUGCCCCCGUGAGCGCUCCCCACGGGGUGGGCGUGGGGAAGGGUGGGUGCUGCGGCGGCCUCCCGUCCGCGGGCGUCCCAGCCCCGCCGGCGGUGGAUGCGCCCGGGAGGAGCCGCCGAGCCCGCCCAGCCCUUCCAGCCCCCCGCGGGGGGGACGCGGGGACCGCCGCGAUGACUUGACGCCGGGCCGGGCCGUGCCGUGCCAUGGAGGGGAUGACACGCUUCGCGGUGGCCGCGGCGCGGUGGCGGCCGGCGCUGCCCGCCCUGCUGCCGCUGCUGCUGGCCGUGCCGGCGCUGCGGGGCUCUCCCGCCGCAGAUGAGAGAUCCUUGGAACAGCAGAAUUUUUCCUUUUUCUCAACGGUGCAUGAAAGCAUAUCAGGCAGCAGGACACAAACGGCCUUAGCAAGGAGUACUUUGGAGUCCCAAGAAAGUAAUUUGCUUCAAACAGUUUUAUCAUCAGUUACCACUUCCUUUGAUGGGACUUUACUUAGCCAAGAAGAAACAGCCAUGAUUUCAGAAGGGAGAAGUACGCCGUUGGUAGAUGUCUCUGUAAGGAGCAAUGAGGCAUUCCUAAGUGAUGAUGAAUUUAUUAGCUCCUUUUCAAAGGCACAGUGGACUCCUCCCGUGAAGUCUUUUGCAGUUUUAACAGAUCAUCACUCAGUUAAUACAGUAGAGCCAUCAAGAGAAAUGUUAGAAACUGUGUUGCUAACACCUUCAUUAUCUGUCCUUUCUUCACUCUAUGAUAUCUCAGAAACAGCACAGCAGAAGACUCUGUUGAGUGCUGUCCCUGAACGAAGCUACACUCUUAUGGAGCUAAAGCCUUUUGUACCAGAUCCUGAAAUACUAACAGCAAGCAGAGACUUGCUGUUGUACCCUCCAAAUACAGCUGUUCCUUUCGCUUCCGUUCCUUCUGACACGGGAAUUGUGGCACAGGAAAACAUUAAUGCAAGUUUAACAGCUCUGCCUUUUGGGAGUGCUUCAGAAGGAUCGCCUCUCCAUCUCAAGCUGCUGGAUGAAACCAGCCCUGGGGCCCCAGAUGCCACAGCGCAUCCUGCAGACCUUUAUGGUGAUGUUUACACCCAUGUGAGUAGCAGGGCAGCAGAAUCUCUCAGUCAAAGGACUUACCCCACUCCAAGCAUUCCCUGGCUCAUGCCAACUUCAGCAGCCAGUGCUGAGCCUGCUUUUUAUCCUAUUAGUCUUCCACUUGUGUCUUUCCCUCUAGAUUCAGCUGCCAUUUCUGUGAACUCUAAUACAAUUCUUAAUGCCAGCCUGUUUACACAUGAAUUCUCCACUACUGCACCAAAUUUGCCUGCUGGUUCAGAAAUACCAAGUCAAUCAGAGCUUGUCAGUGAGCUCAAGAGUCCAGUGCCUUUCACGAGAUCAUACAGUUACUGUCUGUAUUGUGACUCUGUUUCACUUCUGCCAGAAGCAGGCUUUGCACCAGAACAUGAUGUGGGCUCAGGAGAUUAUGUUGAAACUUUGUCCAUCAAAGCCUCUGAAGUACAAGGCAUAACUGCAUUUACAACUAUAAUUACUGAUGGGUAUGAAUUGGAGGAACCUACACCUGAGAUUUUUGAUACUUCUUUUCCAUCAAGACCAGUUGUUUCACUUUCUUCAAGAUUUGCAGAAAUCCCUGACUCAAGCAUGUUUUUGUUAAGCACUACAGACACUAGAACACCUAUAACAAUAUCUCCCUCCUUCCAUCAGCUCCCUGGGGAAAUGUCACUGAACAUCUCCGUUUCCCAGACCCUCCCUGUUCUUGAAUCAAUUUUGUUGACUCCAAGCACUCAUGUAGACAUUCCUGAUGCCACCACUGCUCUGUUGGACUCUACCAUCACCCCCAGUGAGCCAGUCACAUCGUUUGCAAUCAGUCAGACAACCUUGCUGGAACUGCCAGAGUUAAUGCCAUCAGAAUCCGUGGUUUUGCUUGGCAAGACAUCUACAAGGGACGAACUGUCUUUAAGUAUUUCAGAUUUUCCAUCCAAUCUUUUAUCAACACCAUUUCUUAUUGAAUCUAGCUACUUGUCUUUAUCACUGACCAUGCUAAAUUCUUACUCUGUCAUGCAAAGUGAUUUAUUAACACUGUUACCUCAGACCUUGUUGACUGGGACAUCAGUACUUCCUGAGGAUGUUACCAGCUGGGACUUAGCUACCACUGUCAGCUUUGCCACUGAUGCCGAGGUUUCUCAGUUACAUCUUAGCCAAACAUCAUACUUUCAUUCAAAUACAUCAUCCCUUCCAGAUGCACAGGUUCCUGAAAUAAUGCCAUCAUCAGAUUUUCCCUCAGAGUCAUCUGUGUUUCUGGAAGCAUCCUCGGUACUGCCAGUGGGCUCUGAAGUUGUGUUUACCUCAGCUGCCACAGGAGCUACCUCUCAGUUGGAGCCUUCACUCUCCACCUCUCACUCUGUGGUUCCUACCCUGGUGCUGCCCACUUCCGACACCCAGUCUAUUACCAGCAGCAUCUUGCUCAGUGAAACAAAUCUGAUCUCUUCGUUUACUACCUUUCCAGCAACUCCUGUCUUAAACAUAACUUCAUCUCUACUUUCAACUGCUCUGGGUUCUGAUGAGGAUAUUGGUGCUACAGUUAACCCCACGCUGCUUUUAACAUCUGGCAGCAGGGGCAGCGUCCCCACAGCCCUUGCUCCCACAGACCCUGACAGCCUUGCAUCAGAUGCCAGCACCAUCAGCAUAAUGCCCUUUCCUACAGCAUCUCUGUCUGUGACCUCAUCGUUUGCUCCCACACAAUUUCCUGAGACUGCCAGCCCUCCCCCUGGACAUGAAGUUCCAUCAGGAAGCAGUGUGACUGCUGGUGCUGAUGCAUCAGCUCCUUCCACCCCUGCCACCAGCGCUACAGGCAGCCCAGGGACAUUCUCCUCCACCCCUCUGAGGACCACUACUCAGUCUGAAGUGGUGGCUGUGACCUCUGCUGUGACCACCACCAGGCAGCCGUACGUCUGCGACAUCACUGUUCCUGAUGCCUACUUAGUCACUGCGGUGCUGGCCCGAAGAGCUGUUCUACGAAAUGUCAGUGAAUCCAUCAGAGAAGUGCUCAGAGUUCAGUUCAGGAGAUCAGUAGAGCUAGAGGUUUAUAAAAUUUCCCCCAAAUUUGCUUUCUUGGUGACAUCUGGUCCCUUUGUUUACACGGCAAUAGCUGUCAUAAAUGUGCUUGUGAACAGCAGUCUUCUUCGUGGGGAGGCCCCCAUCAUCCUCUCACUGCAUCCUUCUUUCACUGUGCCAGACAACAGAUUCCAGGUUCAGACAGUGCUUCAGUUUGUACCUCGAAACGUGGAUAUUGGAUUCUGCACCUUUAGCCAGCGCAUUGAGAGAGGGCUGACAAUGGCAUUCCUGGAGGUGAACAAACACCAGGAGCUCUACAAUUUCACUGUGCAGAUACUGAAUAUAACUCUAAGCAGGCCUGGGGUGGCGUUUCGACAGGGCCCUGUGAGCAUUGUUUUUGCCAUCCGAGAUAGGUACGGCUUUCUAAAUGGGUCCGAAGUCAGCGAGCAGCUCAGGAACUUGUCCGUGGUGGAAUUCAGCUUCUAUCUGGGCUUUCCUGUGCAGCAGAUUGCUGAACCCUUUCAUUAUCCCAAGCUUAAUGUGUCCCAGCUGAUGAAAUCUUCCUGGGUGAGAACAGUUCUCCUGGGUGUGGUGGACCAGCGAAUCCAGGAGGAAGUGUUCCGGGCUGAGAUGGAGCGGAAGCUCGCUCACCUCUUCAACGAGGCUUUGCUCAGAGGCAGGAUCUGGAGACGGGCCAGUUUUGCAGGCAGCAACAUCGUGCAGAUUGUGAACGUGUCGCGCUUAGUUGGUGUUGAUAACCCCGUGGAGCUGAUCUAUUUCGUGGAGGACCAAGACGGGGAGAGACUGAGUGCUCUGAAGUGCUCAGACCUGAUGAACAGAGUCGACAUCCAGCGGGCUGCGAUCAUCCUUGGCUACCGCAUCGAGGGCAGCGUUGCGCAGCCUGUGGAGAAGCUGAAGGAGCCCACUUCAGAGACUCAGAACAGCAACCUGUGGAUUAUCGUUGGGGUGGCAGUCCCGGUGGCCGUGGUGCUCCUGAUUGUUAUUAUUUUAUACUGGAAACUCUGCAGAACAGACAAGCUGGAGUUCCAGCCAGACACAGUGAGCAACAUUCAGCAGCGACAGAAGCUACAAGCCCCCAGUGUGAAAGGCUUUGAUUUUGCUAAGCAGCAUCUGGGCCAGCACAAUAAAGAUGAUGUCCUGAUUAUCCAUGAGCCAGCUCCUUUACCAGGACCUAUUAAGGACACAACCCCAUCUGAGAACGGAGAUGUGCCCAGCCCCAAAUCCAAGACUUCCACAAAGCCUUCAAAGACUGUUCGACACAGAGGGAGAAUUUCGCCAUCAGAUGCUGAAUCCACAGCAAGUGAACAAUCCAGCGGGAGGGAGACGGGAGAAGAAAGUGCAAGACCAUCAACUGCUGCAAACGAGGGCAAGCCACGCAGAGCUGUGAAGAAGGGAGCAAACAGAGUGGGACCUCCUCAGACCAGCAGUGGAAACGAGCAGCACUCCUCAGCCUCUAUCUUUGAGCAUGUGGAUAGGAUGUCCCGCUCCUCAGAUGCCAGCAGGCGGGUCCCAAGCAAGAUCCAGCUGAUUGCCAUGCAGCCCAUGGCAGCGCCUCCGCUUCAGAACUCUGUGCUCUCCGAUCGGGUAGCAGAGACCAACAAAAUUAAUAAAGAGAUACAAACAGCCCUGAGGCACAAAUCCGAGAUCGAGCAUCACCGCAAUAAGAUCCGCCUGCGCGCCAAGCGUAAAGGGCACUAUGAGUUCCCAGUGGUGGAUGACGUGGUGGUGGUUGACUCCAAAGAACAGCACAGAAUAUAUCGCAAGGCACAGAUGCAGAUUGACAAGAUCUUGGACCCUGGAGGCAGUGUGCCUACCGUCUUCAUAGAGCCCAGGAAGAGUUCUCGCGCAAAACGUUCUCCCAAGCAGCGCCGUCGCCAUCAGAUAAAUGGGAGUCCAAUUGAUGCUGAAAAGGACAGGUUAAUCACAACUGACAGUGAUGGGACAUACAAAAGGCCUCCAGGAGUCAAUAAUUCUGCAUAUAUUGUAUUCCGACCCAGACCUGCCUCCCGAGCCCCAGACGUCAUCCUCGGCGGAUCUGGGGAAGUUCCCGGGCCUGCCCCCGCACCCGGUGUCGCAGUACGUGCCCCCGCAGCCGUCCAUCGAGGAGGCCCGGCAGACCAUGCACUCGCUGCUGGACGACGCCUUCGCGCUGGUGGCUCCCAGCAGCCAGGCCGCCGGCUCCGCGGCCGUGCCCCCGCCCGGCGUGUCGGCAGCGCAGCCGAGAUACAUGGAAUUUGGAAUGACUCCGCCAGCAGCACCAGGUCUCCUACCGAGGCAGAACUUUGGGCCAGGUUUUCUUCAGCCUGCAGAGUUAAUGCAUGGAGAGCAGCCGCCCCCUGAGGUUCAGUAUUCCUCCAGGGGGAUGUACUCAGAGGAAAUGCCAUCAGUGGCACGGCCACGACCCGUUGGGAGCACUGCAGGUUCUCAGAUACAGCACCUCACUCAGGUGGGAAUUGCUAGCAGGAUCGGAGGUCAACCAGUGGAGAUCCCCUCAGGCAGAGCAGGGCAUGGCCAGCCGGGGGGGCCAGGGUGGCCCCAGUAUCGUGGAGAGGAUGAAUGUGCUAGGCGAGAUGCAACGCAUAUGCAUGGACACCAAGAAUAUUCCUCCUCACCAGUAUUCCAGAUGCCGAGGACUUCAGCCAGGCAGCCCUCAGCACCUCCUGCUCAGCUUCCACACAACAGCCUUCAGGGCCAGGGCCUUUGCUACACCACCAGUUCCACUGAGGACCUCCAGCCAGGUCACUCGUCAGCCUCCCUUAUCAAAGCAAUCAGAGAAGAACUUCUGCGACUUUCUCAGAAACAGACAACAGUGCAGAACUUCCAUAGUUGAUUUAGCAUUCCAUUGCAAAUCUGCCAGGUAUCUGCUUCCUAUGGAAGCAAAGACUUAGAGGAAAUCAGCGAUGUUGUUCUCACAAAGGAAGGAACUUCCACAGCUCUGUUGACAGCACUCUGGAAUAAUCAAAAAAGGCAACAAAAUGAGAAGAGUAAGGAGAGAUGGGGGACAAACAGGGAAAAUCAUCGGUGUCAUCACAAGUAAUAUUAAUUAAUCUGCUAAUUAUGGUGCUCCUCUUCUCUCCUUACCCUCAUUCAGGCUAACACAUAAAUAAAACUGUAGGUCAAGAACUCAGUACUCCAGCAACAACAACAACAAAAUGACAGUAACUAUGUCCAAGAAUGAUAGACUCCUUUUUAUAAGGAAGUAGGUGAAGUUUUUAAUGAACUGAGAUGACAUUUUGCAAGAGAUUACAAGUAUUCUUAUCUCUCCAGUGCUUAUGGGGAACUGGUUUGUGUUGCUGUUCUGCAGGAUUGCAAACUGUAUCUAUCAACUUAAGGGUCUUGAAGGUCCGAUCUCACAUAGGAAUCACUUAGGUUGUCAGGAACAAUGGGACUACUUAGAAAAAAAAUCUUUAUGAGUUACUUGUAUUAAACUGGAACAAUAAUUGUUACAGCUCUGUGGUUCCGAAUGGAGCUACCCUCUGCACUCUUCCUUGUUUUCCUUCUGGUGCUGAAGCUUCAAGUGUUCCUUCAUCUUCAAUGUUUGCAAAGUGAAACAUUGGCCUUGUAUAAUUAAGAAAAUAUUUGUAGACUCAUUCAGGCUGGAAAAAGAAAGCAAAGCAUCCAGACAGAAAGGGCUUGGUAUCUAAUUUGUUUAAAAAUUACUGAAAACUGGAAGGGGAAUACUCAGCUACAGUUGAAUUGGGGAAAUGUGUGUGUAUAUCUUUAAAAAACUAUAUUUACAUACUAAAUGCUCUUGCAAGACCAGCGAUAAACUAUUGCCAAUCUGUAGUUUGCUUUGUGGACAGAAACCAAUCCAGCCUGACUGGUACAGGGUCACCAGCAUUAUGUUAUAAAUUGAUGUCCUAAAUCAUUGCUUAUGUUUGAAUCUGAAUAAUUUUAGUGGAAGUCAGUGACAGUUUAGAGCAUUAACAUAGGCUUAGAUUUGCAGUUUUGAGACAAUUUCUAUAUUUAUACUUGUUUCCACUGUCCCUUUGGACAAAGGGUAAGCAUUAUCCCCAUGGUAAGAAUGGUACGUGCCAUGGAACUGUUUGUCACUGUUUUUUUCAGAGUUUUUAUUUAAAAUUAGCUACGAAUUUACUAAUAUUGGCCAUUGCAUAACUGUAACUGACAUAAUACACACGGACAUUUUGCUUAAGUCACGCCUGGUUGAAGUGUUUUCAUUUUCAGGUCAGAGUGAACUAAAGCUACUAAACUGGCAUGGAGAUGGAGGGCAGGCUCAGUGUUGGUGAGGAGGCUUGGGAGCCCAACCUUAGGGCAAGGGACAGCAGGAGAAUUAGGUGCUGCAGUGUAGGUGUUUCAAACAGGAGCAGGUGGCAGUGGUCAGGGGUCUGAGGAGCAGAGAGCACUGGGCAGCCAGGCAGGGGCUGCAUUUGCCUCAUUUGCUGGGGUGGAAAUGGCAGUGGUGAAGUACAGGUACCAUAACACCGGUGUGGUGUGGUGGUCCUUGGCUGCCACAUCUGCUCCUGGCUCCAGUGCACGGUUCAGUAAGGGCAACAGGACUGAGUCAGACUGAAAUGAAAAUAGCUGGGAGGACAUGGUGGAAGAAGUCCCCUCUGUACCUUAUUCAUGAAGUGUGUCCAUCAUACUCGCGGCUGAAACCACAACCUCUGUUGCUCACUGAUGUGGAAAAAAAGGUGGUAUGUGUCCCUCUUUACCAGAAAGGACAUUUAUUUUGCUGUUUACCUAUGAUCAUCAAAAUGCUGUAUGAAACUGUUUUGAGGGACUUAGAGUAAUGAAGCAGUGUAAAUUAAUUUCCAGUUCCCUGGCCUAUGUGUAAAGCCCUCAUGGGCACCAGUUGAGGUUUGAAAGGAAUCAGAACACCAGCACGGUUGUAACAGCAGUACCAACAGGUCACUAUGAUGUGAAUUUUUUAAGUUUUUUGUGUGAUAAUUCUAGGAUAAAAAUAAACAUUUGUUUUCUGCCAACUUUGUAAACAUGAAUGUUGCCAAUACUUCUGCAAAAUGCCAGGUUUUGAAGAAUGAAGAGUGUAUCAGGCAGUGUUCAUUUGGUCGUUUUGACAGCACUGAAGACUGACUGUUGCUAAGUGUUCCCAUUAAAACCAUCUCUGUCAGACCCCACGUCCUUCUCCAGUUUAAUUCUGUAGUGAACUCAGAGACCAAUGCUUAUAUCAUUACCACAUUACUGUGACUUCAUUUCAAGAAAAUGUGGUCUUCUAGGAGGUAAAUUAAUUUUGUCUGGUUCCAGCUAUUUAAGAACAAUAUGUUCUCUGUGAAAUGAGAGCUUUGAAAUUUAGAGGUACUUAAGCCACUUCUCACUCAUUUUUUUGCUAGUUUUGCUAGAUGGUGAUGAUGCUAUUGUGAAAUUCCAUCUUUUUAUAUUUGGAUGUGUGUCAUUUCUCUUUUCAGUCCAUAAUCUUAUGAUGAACACAGGACAAAUAUGUAUUUGUAAAUAAGAGGCUUUCUGAUGAAGAAAACUCUCUUUAAAACUUUCAACAGUAAAAUAUAAGAAGUCAGAAA